rnacentral:rRNA from 1 species
UUGAACGCUGGCGGCAGGCCUAACACAUGCAAGUCGAGCGGUAACACAGAGAGCUUGCUCUCGGGUGACGAGCGGCGGACGGGUGAGUAAUGUCUGGGAAACUGCCUGAUGGAGGGGGAUAACUACUGGAAACGGUAGCUAAUACCGCAUAACGUCGCAAGACCAAAGUGGGGGACCUUCGGGCCUCAUGCCAUCAGAUGUGCCCAGAUGGGAUUAGCUAGUAGGUGGGGUAACGGCUCACCUAGGCGACGAUCCCUAGCUGGUCUGAGAGGAUGACCAGCCACACUGGAACUGAGACACGGUCCAGACUCCUACGGGAGGCAGCAGUGGGGAAUAUUGCACAAUGGGCGCAAGCCUGAUGCAGCCAUGCCGCGUGUGUGAAGAAGGCCUUCGGGUUGUAAAGCACUUUCAGCGGGGAGGAAGGCGGUGAGGUUAAUAACCUCAUCGAUUGACGUUACCCGCAGAAGAAGCACCGGCUAACUCCGUGCCAGCAGCCGCGGUAAUACGGAGGGUGCAAGCGUUAAUCGGAAUUACUGGGCGUAAAGCGCACGCAGGCGGUCUGUCAAGUCGGAUGUGAAAUCCCCGGGCUCAACCUGGGAACUGCAUUCGAAACUGGCAGGCUAGAGUCUUGUAGAUGGGGGUAGAAUUCCAGGUGUAGCGGUGAAAUGCGUAGAGAUCUGGAGGAAUACCGGUGGCGAAGGCGGCCCCCUGGACAAAGACUGACGCUCAGGUGCGAAAGCGUGGGGAGCAAACAGGAUUAGAUACCCUGGUAGUCCACGCCGUAAACGAUGUCGAUUUGGAGGUUGUGCCCUUGAGGCGUGGCUUCCGGAGCUAACGCGUUAAAUCGACCGCCUGGGGAGUACGGCCGCAAGGUUAAAACUCAAAUGAAUUGACGGGGGCCCGCACAAGCGGUGGAGCAUGUGGUUUAAUUCGAUGCAACGCGAAGAACCUUACCUGGUCUUGACAUCCACAGAACUUUCCAGAGAUGGAUUGGUGCCUUCGGGAACUGUGAGACAGGUGCUGCAUGGCUGUCGUCAGCUCGUGUUGUGAAAUGUUGGGUUAAGUCCCGCAACGAGCGCAACCCUUAUCCUUUGUUGCCAGCGGUUAGGCCGGGAACUCAAAGGAGACUGCCAGUGAUAAACUGGAGGAAGGUGGGGAUGACGUCAAGUCAUCAUGGCCCUUACGACCAGGGCUACACACGUGCUACAAUGGCAUAUACAAAGAGAAGCGACCUCGCGAGAGCAAGCGGACCUCAUAAAGUAUGUCGUAGUCCGGAUUGGAGUCUGCAACUCGACUCCAUGAAGUCGGAAUCGCUAGUAAUCGUAGAUCAGAAUGCUACGGUGAAUACGUUCCCGGGCCUUGUACACACCGCCCGUCACACCAUGGGAGUGGGUUGCAAAAGAAGUAGGUAGCUUAACCUUCGGGAGGGCGCUUACCACUUUGUGAUUCAUGACUGGGGUG